rnacentral:rRNA from 1 species
UACGUAGGGUGCAAGCGUUGUCCGGAUUCACUGGGUGUAAAGGGUGCGCAGGCGGGCUCUUAAGUCAAAGGUGAAAUCUCUCGGCUUAACCGAGAAAUUGCCUUUGAUACUGAGAGCCUUGAGUACGGGAGAGGGAGAUGGAAUUCCAGGUGUAGCGGUGAAAUGCGUAGAGAUCGGGAGGAACACCAGAGGCGAAGGCGGCGACCUGGACAGACACUGACACUCAACUACGAAAGCGUGGGGAGCAGACAGG